rnacentral:rRNA from 1 species
AAUCUUGCGCAAUGGGCGAAAGCCUGACGCAGCGACGCCGCGUGAGUGAAGAAGGCCUUCGGGUUGUAAAACUCUGUCCUCAGGGAAGAAGCAAGUGACGGUACCUGAGGAGGAAGCACCGGCUAACUUCGUGCCAGCAGCCGCGGUAAUACGAAGGGUGCAAGCGUUAAUCGGAAUUACUGGGCGUAAAGCGCGCGUAGGUGGUUUGUUAAGUUGGAAGUGAAAGCCCCGGGCUCAACCUGGGAACUGCCUUUGAAACGGGACAUCUUGAGUUCGGGAGAGGGUAGCGGAAUUCCCAGUGUAGAGGUGAAAUUCGUAGAUAUUGGGAGGAACACCAGUGGCGAAGGCGACUACCUGGACGAAAACUGACGCUGAGGCACGAAAGCUAGGGGAGCAAAC